GAACCUCGCCUGGCGCAAAGCAGAGCUUCUAACUCUGCCUCGAAAAGUUCGAUUCUUUUCAAUGUUCU
rnacentral:tRNA from 1 species